UACGUAGGGGGCUAGCGUUGUCCGGAUUUAUUGGGCGUAAAGAGCGUGUAGGCGGCCAGGUAGGUCUGCUGUGAAAACUCGAGGCUCAACCUCGAGACGUCGGCGGAAACCAUCUGGCUAGAGUCCGGAAGAGGAGAGUGGAAUUCCCGGUGUAGCGGUGAAAUGCGUAGAGAUCGGGAGGAACACCAGAGGCGAAGGCGGCGACCUGGACAGUUACUGACACUCAACUACGAAAGCGUGGGGAGCAAACAGG
rnacentral:rRNA from 1 species